UUGUCUAUUUCUCAUGUAUGCAUUAAGUUAAAUUAUGUCCCCUUACAUAAUCAAUUUGCAUUUAUUGUGCUUUUCACUGUCAGAAAAUCUUAACAACUAAUGGUAUUUGCAUGGAAAAUGAAUAAACCAUUUAAUCUUGCUGAUAUAGCAUCAUAAAUACAUUCUUUGUCAAAAAUAAUGUCUAUUCAAUGUACAGAAACCCCUAUUUCUAUCUCUAUUUCAUACCAAUAUGAGAGCUAAAUGAAUAAGUAAGGACCCCUUAACCACUUACUGGUUCCCCAAAAGCUCCUACUGGUGUCAUGUAACAUCAGAACUACUAAUUAAACCUUAAGAAAGCUAGUAUAGCUGUACUUAUGUUGAAAAAAAUAAGAAAUUAUGCAAUUUAUUUAUUUCGGUGAAAAUAAUAGGAUGAACAUGCAACCGUAGAAUGUCGCGUCUCAAAUUUCAGUGGUUGCACAUGUGUCAGACACUGCGAAAAGUUAAAGCGAGCAUUUAUAAUUAAAAAUGUAUUGCAAGUUACAUAAAAAUAAUGAAGUUCUACUUUCUAUGAAAAUUUUUACAUUAUUACCUACAGAUCAGGCAAAAUUUGCUGAAUCAGCAAUUUUUACUCUCAGGGGUGGAAUUUAAGGCUUGUUUUAUCAUAGUUGCCCUUAAUCAACUUUUUAUUGAUAAACUUACAAAUUGCAUAGGUAAAAAAAAGUUCCUUCAUUGAUUUAGUGUAAAAAUAUAUAUCCCCCUUAACCAAGACAUAACAAACUUGAAACCAGUCAUGACACCUAUAAUGCAUAGACUUCUUACUUUGGAACAUAUUACAAUAAAGAAUACUAGUCUGCACUUAUUUCUUACAAAAAAAAAAUGAAACAUUACAUCCCUACCCCAUCUGGCAGAUUUUCACUUUUUUUUCAUCUUACCAUUUUUACUUAAGGAGUGAACAAAACCCAAAUAUAUGAUGUUUCAAAUCAACACAGAAGUCAAACAUGGUGAGUCAGGAGGAAUUAUUGGAUUGCCAACUCUAUUUAUGGUUAAUCUGACUGAAAGAAACAGUUUAAGCACCAA
rnacentral:lncRNA from 1 species